rnacentral:rRNA from 1 species
UACGUAGGGUGCAAGCGUUGUCCGGAAUUAUUGGGCGUAAAGAGCUCGUAGGCGGUUUGUCGCGUCGGCUGUGAAAUCCCGGAGCUCAACUCCGGGUCUGCAGUCGAUACGGGCGGACUUGAGUACUGCAGGGGAGACUGGAAUUCCUGGUGUAGCGGUGAAAUGCGCAGAUAUCAGGAGGAACACCGGUGGCGAAGGCGGGUCGCUGGGCAGUAACUGACGCUGAGGAGCGAAAGCGUGGGGAGCGAACAGG